UACGGGGGGAGCAAGCGUUGUUCGGAUUUACUGGGCGUAAAGGGCGCGUAGGCGGUCGUGACAAGUCACUUGUGAAAUCUCCGGGCUUAACUCGGAACGGUCAAGUGAUACUGUCGGACUAGAGUACAGAAGGGGCAACUGGAAUUCUCGGUGUAGCGGUGAAAUGCGCAGAUAUCGGGAGGAACACCAAUGGCGAAGGCAGCUCGCUGGGACGGUACUGACGCUGAGACGGCGAAAGCGUGGGGAGCAACAGG
rnacentral:rRNA from 1 species